rnacentral:rRNA from 1 species
CCUACGGGAGGCAGCAGUGGGGAAUAUUGGGCAAUGGGCGCAAGCCUGACCCAGCAACGCCGCGUGAAGGAAGAAGGCUUUCGGGUUGUAAACUUCUUUUCUCAGGGACGAAGCAAGUGACGGUACCUGAGGAAUAAGCCACGGCUAACUACGUGCCAGCAGCCGCGGUAAUACGUAGGUGGCAAGCGUUCUCCGGAUUUACUGGGGGUAAAGGGGGUGUAGGCGGGAAAGCAAGUCAGAUGUGAAAACCAUGGGCUCAACCUGUGGCCUGCAUUUGAAACUGUUUUUCUGGAGUACUGGAGAGGCAGACGGAAUUCCUAGUGUAGCGGUGAAAUGCGUAGAUAUUAGGAGGAACACCAGUGGCGAAGGCGGUCUGCUGGACAGCAACUGACGCUGAGGCGCGAAAGCGUGGGGAGCAAACAGGAUUAGAUACCCCGGUAGUC